AUGGCCUUCAACAACCAAGCAAUAAAAACUACAGAAAUCCCAUUGGAAUCAUGGGAUUUAAAUUCCCCGUGCGAGGUUCCACAACCAAACAAGAAAAUCUACACUAACUUUCACAACCAAACUGAUAAAGUACAGCUUGUCGCCGGGACGCUCGCCGGCCGUGGACAUGGCGGAGAGCCUGCUCGUCCUUGGGAGGAACCCGCCCGCGCGCCUCAGGUGCUGCGACUGCUGCGCCGCGGGGGACGGCCUGAGGGCCCUGCUGGCGCACUGCCGGCUGUUCAUUCGCUUCAAGCCCAGACCGCGGCUGGACGGCGGGGAGCCGGGCUUGCUGCUGCCGGCGGCGGCCGCCUGCUUGCGCGCCUUGUGGAGGCUGCACCGGAACGAGCCCGGGUGGUUCGUCGGUGA
rnacentral:rRNA from 1 species